UGAUGUAAUAGUAGCUUAAUUUGUUUUUCUAUUUUAUGUGUUUAGCCAUUUGUGUCCUGCAUAUUGACAUUUUUUUUUAUGAGUAGGUUGGAAAUGCCAAGCUUUUUAUUGUUAUUGUGCUGAAUUUGCUCACAUGUUAUUUUUCUUGGCAGGGCCUGUGAACAUAUUGUUCUUCUUCAUUAUAGAGACAUCAUGAGCUUGGGCCUGUGAACAUAUUGUUCUUCUUCAUUAUAGAGACAUCAUCAGCUUGGUAAAUUUCUAUUGACCUGAUUCCUAAUCUCAAAGUAACAAAUCUCAUAAUCAUGAUAGUAACUGAUUUAUGUUUUUUCAGGAAAAAGUGCCUCCUAUAUCUCCUGGCCGGUUAUCACCUGUGUCUAUUAUGUUCUAUGGCCUUCUAGCACUUCCCUUCUUGUGCAGGAUCUAGCUCUUCUGGUCCAGAGCCGUCUCCCUUUCUCUGAAGAUGAUAAUGUCGGCGCGGAGGAUUUUCACAACUACUGAGAGGUUCUUCCACUUUCAACUGCAAACGGAAAUGGGUAUCAUUCAAUCUCCAUCCUUAUUAUUUACCAAUUACUUCCAUUCUUCUGCUUCCACGCAUAAUCCUAAAGAUGCAAAAUCUCAACGUUUCUUGAGAUCUAAGUUCAAUUCUUCUUCUUUUAGGGACGUUGAUGAUGCCUUAGCUUUCUUUAAUCAUAUCAUUCUUUUGCGUCCUCUGCCUUCUAUUGUUCAAUUUUGUCGAUUUUUAUCUGCUCUUGUGGGAAUGAAACAAUAUCACACGGUUAUUUCUUUGUCCAGAACAAUUGAGUCUCUGGGAAUCUCACACGAUAUUUACUCUCUUUCUAUAUUGAUUAACUGUUUCUGCCGCUUACACCUUGUGAAUUUUGGCUUCUCAAUUCUGGGGAAAAUUAUCAAAUUUGGAUUGGAGCCCAAUACUGUGACAUUUACUACCUUAAUUAAAGGGCUCUGUAUAGAUGGUAAAAUCAAUGGAGCAGUAGAUUUUUUCAAUGAUAUGGUUGCUGGAGGUUAUCAACCUGAUGUUCAUACUUACACUGUGAUCAUAAAUGCUCUUUGUAAAUGUGGGAAAACAAAUGUGGCUAUUGAGUUGCUAAAGGGAAUGGUUGAGAGAGGUUGUGAGCCAAAUGUUGUCACUUACAACUGCUUAAUUCAAGGUCUUUGCAAUUUAGGCAAAUGGAAUCAAGCUUUGGCCUUGUUGAAAGAAAUGGCGGGGCAAAACAUAUCACCAGACGUUUUUACCUUCAAUAUAUUGAUUGACAAUCUUUGCAAGGAAGGACUGGUUUCAAAAGCUCAAGAAAUAAUGAAAAUAAUGAUCCAACAAGGGGUGAAGCCUGAUGUUUUCACUUACAGUUCUUUGAUGGACGGAUUUUGUCUGUGUAACCAAAUGGAUGAAGCGACAAAAUUAUUUGAUCAUAUGGUAAGCAGUGGCAUAGCUAAUGUCUUUAGCUACAACAUCUUGAUUAAUGGAUACUGCAAGAGCAAAAGGAUAGAUGAAGCAACAAAACUUUUGGACGAAAUGAUUAAAACUAGUUUAGUUCCCAACUUUGUUACUUAUACUACUCUUAUAAAGGGAUUGUGGGAAGCUGGGCGACCUGAAAAUGCACUUGAGGUUUUCAAGAGCAUGUGUUCUUAUGGUCAACAACCAAAUGUAAUAACUUUCUCAACUAUUCUCAAUGGCUUGUGCAAACAGGGGAAUCUUGAUGAGGCACUCACACUAUUUAAAGCAAUGGAAAAAAGUCGGUUGAAGGUUAAUUGUGUGAGCUAUAACAUUUUGAUUAAUGGUAUGUGUAGAGCUGGGAGGCUUACUGAUGCCAAGGAAUUGUUUUCUAGGCUUUUUGAAAAAGGUUUACAACCUGAUGUUUAUACAUAUAGUAUAAUAAUAAAAGGACUUUGCAAUGAAGGUUUACUAGAUGAAGCAUACAAAGUCUUUAGAGGAAUGGAAGAGUGUGGAUGUUUACCGAAUGGUUGCUGUUAUAAUGUGAUUAUUCAAGGGUUUCUCAGGCAUAAAGAUAUACCAGAGGCAACACUACUUAUUGAUGAAAUGGUUGAUAAAGGAUUCUCUGCAGAUGCCACCACCUUUGAAUUGGUAAUACAUUUAUUGCGCAAUGACGAUCUCAUUCUGACAAAACUACGAAAUCGUUCCAAAUGUUCUAAAGGUGCAAAUUUUAAGUGAUAUUUUAACAAUCAAGACUUGCUCAACAGAUGGACGAGGGCCUGUGAACAUAUUGUUCUUCUUCAUUAUAGAGACAUCAUGAGCUUGGUAAAAGAGUUUCCUAUUCUGUUCUGUGGCCUCCUAGCUCUUGUGCAGUAUCUAGCUGUUCUGCUCCAGGUGCAAGUCCUUGUUCUACCAUUCAAGAUCAAGGAACUGCCUUUGAUUUUACAUCUGAUGAUGGUAUAAAUUUUUGAAAAGUCUGGGCCACUUGGGGUGGAAGAGGAUUUAAGGGGCUAAUGGUCAGCAAGAGAAGCGUAGUUUUCUUGGCGUCUGAAUUUGAGAGCUGAAUAUGUUUAGGCAUCCUGAAAUAGGAAGCACUGAUGGAAAAUCUGAAAGCUCUUCUGUUGAUGGCUCUCUUCUCGGACUGGCCGUUCCUGGCAUGGAAGCUAAUGAAUGCACGAAAUGACCUGAUCUUUAAUGAUAAACAAUGGAACACCAGAAGUAUGAAUUAAUCAGUACUCUGAAGCAGAGAAUUGCUUCACCAAUCCAUGAUUAAUGCAGUAAUCUCUAGUAUUAAGAUAAUUCCAAUCUGGACUCACUAGCUGUUGGUUUCAUUAUGAUAAACUUUGAAAUUCUUACUGUUAGAAGAAGUUGCUAAUAUGCUUAUGAGUCUGUCAUCAAAGAUCUGUUGUUUUUGUCAAUAGAGAAGGAAAUUGGCCAGUUCACAUUUCAAA